GAUGAACGCUAGCGGCAGGCUUAAUACAUGCAAGUCGAGGGGCAGCGCAGUGUAGCAAUACAUGGGCGGCGACCGGCAAACGGGUGCGGAACACGUACGCAAUCUACCCAAAACUGAUGAAUAGCCCUCCGAAAGGAGGAUUAAUACAUCGUAACUUAAUGAAGUGGCAUCACUUUAUUAAUAUAGCUCCGGCGGUUUUGGUAUGAGCGUGCGCCUGAUUAGGA
rnacentral:rRNA from 1 species